rnacentral:rRNA from 1 species
ACUGUCAGCUUUGGCUAAACUUACACAUGCAAGUCUCCGCCUCCCUGUGAGAAUGCCCACAGUUUUCUGCCCGAAAACAAGGAGCCGGUAUCAGGCACACUCCCCGCAGCCCAUGACACCUUGCUUAGCCACACCCUCAAGGGAACUCAGCAGUGAUAGACAUUAAGCCAUAAGUGAAAACUUGACUUAGUUAAAGCCAAGAGAGCCGGUAAAACUCGUGCCAGCCACCGCGGUUAUACGAGAGGCUCAAGUUGACAGACACCGGCGUAAAGAGUGGUUAGGAAAUCCUUAAAACUAAAGCCAAACGCCCUCAGAACUGUUAUACGUACCCGAGGGUAAGAAGCCCCACUACGAAAGUGGCUUUAUAUCUCCGACCCCACGAAAGCUGUGAAACAAACUGGGAUUAGAUACCCCACUAUGCCCAGCCCUAAACUUUGAUAGCCCACUACACCCGCUAUCCGCCCGGGUACUACGAGCACUAGCUUAAAACCCAAAGGACUUGGCGGUGCUUUAGACCCCC